rnacentral:rRNA from 1 species
UACGGGGGGAGCAAGCGUUGUUCGGAUUUACUGGGCGUAAAGGGCGCGUAGGCGGCGUGACAAGUCACUUGUGAAAUCUCCGGGCUUAACUCGGAACGGUCAAGUGAUACUGUCGUGCUAGAGUGCGGAAGGGGCAACUGGAAUUCUUGGUGUAGCGGUGAAAUGCGUAGAUAUCAAGAGGAACACCUGCGGCGAAGGCGGGUUGCUGGGCCGACACUGACGCUGAGGCGCGAAAGCUAGGGGAGCAAACAGG